GUUUCCGUAGCUGAACCUGCGGAAGGAUCAUUG
rnacentral:rRNA from 1 species